GCGGGCGUGGCGAAAUUGGCAGACGCGCUAGGUUUAGGUCCUAGUACCUUGUAGGUGUGGGAGUUCGAGUCUCCCCGCCCGCA
rnacentral:tRNA from 1 species